rnacentral:rRNA from 1 species
GAUGAACGCUGGCGGCGUGCCUAAUACAUGCAAGUCGAGCGAACGGACGAGAAGCUUGCUUCUCUGAUGUUAGCGGCGGACGGGUGAGUAACACGUGGAUAACCUACCUAUAAGACUGGGAUAACUUCGGGAAACCGUAGCUAAUACCGGAUAAUAUUUUGAACCGCAUGGUUCAAAAGUGAAAGACGGUCUUGCUGUCACUUAUAGAUGGAUCCGCGCUGCAUUAGCUAGUUGGUAAGGUAACGGCUUACCAAGGCAACGAUGCAUAGCCGACCUGAGAGGGUGAUCGGACACACUGGAACUGAGACACGGUCCAGACUCCUACGGGAGGCGGCAGUAGGGAAUCUUCCGCAAUGGGCGAAAGCCUGACGGAGCAACGCCGCGUGAGUGAUGAAGGUCUUCGGAUCGUAAAACUCUGUUAUUAGGGAAGAACAUAUGUGUAAGUAACUGUGCACAUCUUGACGGUACCUAAUCAGAAAGCCACGGCUAACUACGUG